AAGCAGCUACAAAUGGCGAGCUGAUGCUGGAGCUCUGAAAGUUGUGCAUGGCAGUAGGGUUGUCUUGAAGGGGAAGAAGUGUAGAAAAUGCUAUCUCUUGUUAGGAAGCUCAACGUGAGGUGGAGCUCCAAGCAUAGGUAGAUGGGGCACGAGAUAGAAGACUUGGAAGGAUGACAAGCGAUGUCUUAAAAUGAAGUUCUUAUUAUUGUAAGAGGCUAUCCAAGUAGGUCUUAGAUCAGGUAAAUCACAGUACAUGAUGGAGAUGGGAUCGAGUGGUCUAGCUCGACUUUCAUAUCUACCCAUCUAUGAGCAGCCAGACAUUUACCCCAGGGCAUGGAGACGAGAUCAUUCACAAGCUCUCAAAUCCAUAUGAAAACUGAAUGUCGAGUUGAGAUAGAGAUUUGUGGGAUUUGAUGCCUCGAAUUUGAUCUUGAUUGGUUAAUAGAAGCCCAAGACUCAAGGAUAGAUGGAGAAAUUAUAAGGUUGAGCUCAAUUGGAUUCAAAUCGAAAGUGAGUCGAUCAAUUUGAAGGUGAAUCAAUAAAGAACCAGUAGUAAACUGACUGAACAAGCGGAGAACCAGCUGAAAACCAACUAAACCAAUCCUAAACUGGGCUGAACCGACCACUGGACUGAUUAUGGUGCCCUGAAUCGACCACUAGACCAAC
rnacentral:lncRNA from 1 species